CCUACGGGUGGCUGCAGUGAGGAAUAUUGGUCAAUGGACGAGAGUCUGAACCAGCCAAGUAGCGUGAAGGAUGACUGCCCUAUGGGUUGUAAACUUCUUUUAUAUGGGAAUAAAAUGUUCCACGUGUGGGAUUUUGUAUGUACCAUAUGAAUAAGGAUCGGCUAACUCCGUGUCAGCAGCCGCGGUAAUACGGAGGAUCCGAGCGUUAGCCGGAUUUAUUGGGUUUAAAGGGAGCGUAGGUGGAUUGUUAAGUCAGUUGUGAAAGUUUGCGGCUCAACCGUAAAAUUGCAGUUGAAACUGGCAGUCUUGAGUACAGUAGAGGUGGGCGGAAUUCGUGGUGUAGCGGUGAAAUGCUUAGAUAUCACGAAGAACUCCGAUUGCGAAGGCAGUUCACUGGACUGCAACUGACACUGAGGCUCGAAAGUGUGGGUAUCAAACAGGAUUAGAUACCCUAGUAGUC
rnacentral:rRNA from 1 species